rnacentral:rRNA from 1 species
AGAGAGCGGCGUACGGGUGCGGAACACGUGUGCAACCUGCCUUUAUCUGGGGGAUAGCCUUUCGAAAGGGAGAUUAAUACCCCAUAAUAUUUAGAAUGGCAUCAUUUUAAAUUGAAAACUCCGGUGGAUAGAGAUGGGCACGCGCAAGAUUAGAUAGUUGGUGAGGUAACGGCUCACCAAGUCUACGAUCUUUAGGGGGCCUGAGAGGGUGAUCCCCCACACUGGUACUGAGACACGGACCAGACUCCUACGGGAGGCAGCAGUGAGGAAUAUUGGACAAUGGGUGAGAGCCUGAUCCAGCCAUCCCGCGUGAAGGACGACGGCCCUAUGGGUUGUAAACUUCUUUUGUAUAGGGAUAAACCUACCCUCGUGAGGGUAGCUGAAGGUACUAUACGAAUAAGCACCGGCUAACUCCGUGCCAGCAGCCGCGGUAAUACGGAGGGUGCAAGCGUUAUCCGGAUUUAUUGGGUUUAAAGGGUCCGUAGGCGGAUCUGUAAGUCAGUGGUGAAAUCUCACAGCUUAACUGUGAAACUGCCAUUGAUACUGCAGGUCUUGAGUGUUGUUGAAGUAGCUGGAAUAAGUAGUGUAGCGGUGAAAUGCAUAGAUAUUACUUAGAACACCAAUUGCGAAGGCAGGUUACUAAGCAACAACUGACGCUGAUGGACGAAAGCGUGGGGAGCGAACAGGAUUAGAUACCCUGGUAGUCCACGCCGUAAACGAUGCUAACUCGUUUUUGGGUUUUCGGAUUCAGAGACUA